rnacentral:lncRNA from 1 species
UCUAUUGUUUUGAAAAUUUGAACAUAAUUUAACAUUAAUACAUCAAUUAAAAAAACAAACAUUUGUCUUACUAAUGUCACCUUCAAAAUUAAUAAUAUCUAUUUUUCAUUCUUGUUUUUACAAAUUUUCGAAAAUGUUUUAAUAGUCUUUCAGGAUCAAAGGGUUUGAAGCUGAUUCUCAAGGUGCUAAUGUAAAAAAUCACGUCUACGGUUGACAUUAUUGGAAAAAAGGAGUCGAUUAGUGACCGACGACAUCUUAUCUGAAGAUGAAUUUCUUCUCAAAAUAUUUUGAUCUUCAUAAUGCCGUAGAAUCAAAACAAAGUAUAUUGUUCACUCUUUCGAUCAUUAUAUGAAGUUUGACGUCGUUGUUAAUGACAAAUAUUAUAUGGAAUCAAUAAAAUUCUUGACGAAAUUCUUUUUAUUAUUAAUAAAGUAUAUGUAAUGAUAAAUUUAAAUUUACAUCGAAUUCAAAGAAAUAUUAUAAUGUUAAAUGAUGUUUUGCCAUUGUUGAAUUCUAUUUUAAAGUUAAUUCUUUUAAUUUUUUUAAAGACAUGUGCUAUUUAAUAUUAAAUCACUUUAAUUUAUUGUUAUUUUUAAAUCUUCUUUAAUAUAAUACAUCAACAACAUUAAAAGUAAAUGUUAACAAAAAAUAUAUAUGCUAGUUAUUAUAUAUUUUACAAAUUUUGAGGUUAGAUGAAUAUAAUCAAACAUUAAUAUAUGCUUAGAGAAAUCAAAACUAACUUAGUUAAUUAAGAAUAAAGUAUUCUUACAACAACUUUAAUAAUUUAAAUUAAUUUUUCUUAUUUUAUAAUAAUAUAUACUAUAAAUUACAAGCCUUUUUCGAGAUAUAUUCAUUAAUGUCUUUUGUUUUGAAAAUUUGAACAUAUUUAGCAUUAAUACAUCAAUUAAAAAAUAAACUUUUGUCUUACUAUUGUCAUUUACAAAAUUAAUAAUUAUUUAUUUUUUAAUUUUGUUUUUACACAUUUUCGGAAAGAAUUCAAUAUGCUUUCAAGAUGAAAGGGUUUGAAGCUGAUUCUCAAGGUGCUAAUGUAAAAAAUUAUGUCUGUGCUUGACAUUAUUGGAAAAGGAGUCGGUUAGUGGCAGACGACUCCUGCUUUAAGAAGAUAUUUCUGUCUAAAAUAUGAUCUUCAUAAUGCCCGUAGAAUCAAAACAAAAUGUAUUAUCCACACUUUCAAGCAUUAUAUGAAGUUUGAUGCCGUCGGUAAUAACAAAACUUUUGUGGAAUCAAGUAAAAUUCUUGACAAAUAUCCUUUUAUAUAUUAAUAAAGUAUAUGUGAUGAUAAAUUUUAAUUUACAUCGAAUUUAAAGAAAUAUUAUAUAAUUUUAAAUGAUGUUUGCCAUUGUUGAAGUCUAUUAUAAAGUAUAAUUUCUUUCAAAAAAUUUAAAGACAUGUGAUUUAAUAUGAGUCACCUUAAUUAUUUGACCUUUUUAAAUCUUCCUUUCAUAUAAUACAACGAACGAAACUAAAGUAAAUGUUAGCAUAAAAUAAUACUUUAACUAUUAUAUAUUUGGCAAUUGCAAAUCUGGAAGUUAAUUGAAUAUAAUCAAACAUUAAUAUAUGCUUAGAGUAAUCAGAACAACAUAUUCUUACAACAACUUUAAUAAUACAUACUAAUUUUUCUUAUUAUAUAAUAAUAUAUAGUGGAUAUUACAAUCCCUUUUCGAGAUAUAUUCAUUAACGUCUAUGUUUUUGAAAAUUUGAACAUAAUUUAACAUUAAUACAUAAUUAAAAAAACAAACAUUUGUCUUACUAAUGUCACCUUCAAAAUUAAUAAUUAUCUAUUUUUCAUUCUUUUUUUUACAAAUUUUCGAAAAUGUUUUAAUAGUCUUUCAGGAUCAAAGGGUUUGAGCUGAUUCUCAGGUGCUAAUGUAAAAAAUCACGUCUACGGUUGACAUUAUUGGAAAAAAGGAGUCGAUUAGUG